AUUGAACACUGGCGGCAGGCCUAACACAUGCAAGUCGAGCGAGCGGCGGACGGGUGAGUAAUGUAUGGGGACUGCCCGAUAGAGGGGGAUAACUACUGGAAACGGUGGCUAAUACCGCAUACUAUCGGAUAACCCAUAUGGGAUUAGCUAGUAGGUGGGGUAAAGGCUCACCUAGGCGACGAUCUCUAGCUGGUCUGAGAGGAUGGUCAGCCACACGGGGACUGAGACAAGGCCCAGACUCCGACGGAGGCAGCAGUGGGGAAUAUUGCACAAUGGGCGCAAGCCUGAUGCAGCCAUUCCGCUUGUAUUAAGAAGGCCUUAGGGUUGUAAAGUACUUUCAGCGGGGAGGCGUUACCCGCAGAAGAAUAACCGGCUAACUCCGUGCCAGCAGCCGCGUUAAUAC
rnacentral:rRNA from 1 species